rnacentral:pre_miRNA from 1 species
CAACUCUCAUCCUACACCGUUGGAUCGAGAAAUAGACGCCCGAGAUUCGUCCACGUCACCAUGAGUUAAAAUUUAACUCCCAGAAAAUUUUAACUCAUGAGUGAAUCUGUGAGUUAAAUUUUAACUCAUGGUGACGUGGACGAAUCUCGAGCGUCCAUUUCUCAAUCCAACGGUGUAGGAUGAGAGUUG